ACUUGUCUAGCUCAGUUGGUAAAAUACAAGGCUCUUAACCUUGUGGUUGUGGGUUCGAGCCUCAUGGUGUGCG
rnacentral:tRNA from 1 species